rnacentral:rRNA from 1 species
AUUACACCACUCAAGCCUCGCUUGGUAUUGGGCGCCGCGCACCGCCGCGCGCCUUAAUGUCUCCGGCUGAGCCGUUCCGUCUCUAAGCGUUGUGGCAUCACGUUUCCGCUUGCGAGUACGGGAGGUUUGCGCCGUUAAACACCCCCAUCAAAGGUUGACCUCGGAUCAGGUAGGGAUACCCGCUGAACUUAAGCAUAUCAAUAAGCGGAGGAAAAGAAACCAACAGGGAUUGCCCUAGUAACGGCGAGUGAAGCGGCAACAGCUCAAAUUUGAAAUCUGGCGCAAGCCCGAGUUGUAAUUUGUAGAGGAUGCUUCUGGGCAGCGGCCGGUCUAAGUUCCUUGGAACAGGACGUCAUAGAGGGUGAGAAUCCCGUAUGCGACCGGUUGGCACCCGUCACGUAGCUCCUUCGACGAGUCGAGUUGUUUGGGAAUGCAGCUCUAAAUGGGAGGUAAAUGUCUUCUAAAGCUAAAUACCGGCCAGAGACCGAUAGCGCACAAGUAGAGUGAUCGAAAGAUGAAAAGCACUUUGGAAAGAGAGUUAAAAAGCACGUGAAAUUGUUGAAAGGGAAGCGCAUGCAACCAGACUUGUCGGCGGUGUUCCGCCGGUCUUCUGACCGGUCUACUCGCCGUCGGCAGGCCAGCAUCACUUGGGACCGCCGGAUAAAGGCCCGGGAAUGUAGCUCCUCGGAGUGUUAUAGCCCGGCGCACAAUACGGCGCGUCCCGAGUGAGGUCCGCGCUUCGGCUAGGAUGCUGGCGUAAUGGUUGUUUGCGGCCCGUCUUGAAACACGGACCAAGGAGUCUAACAUCUAUGCGAGUGUUCGGGUGUCAAACCCCUACGCGUAAUGAAAGUGAACGGAGGUGGGAACUUAGGUGCACCAUCGACCGAUCCUGAUGUCUUCGGAUGGAUUUGAGUAAGAGCAUAGCUGUUGGGACCCGAAAGAUGGUGAACUAUGCCUGAAUAGGGUGAAGCCAGAGGAAACUCUGGUGGAGGCUCGCAGCGGUUCUGACGUGCAAAUCGAUCGUCAAAUUUGGGUAUAGGGGCGAAAGACUAAUCG